CAGGGAUCUGGGCUAAAACUGCAGGUUCGAUGAAUGGUACAUUCAACUGCUUAAUCUUUUACUGGAAAGACAAGCUUUUACGUGCCGAGGGAUUGAAAGUUAUGAAAAGUAUGAAAAUAUGUCGACGGGUUCAAAACGAGCUGGAUCAAUAAUAACCUUUUUGAAAACCUAUCGAAAUCAUUCGCAUUUCAGAUCAAAAUGAAGAAUAAUUGAAGUCUUCGUAAUUUAAAGAUGAUUUAACUGCCGACUUGACAACGAAUUUUUUUAAAUUACGAAUUUAACUGAACUCUGAAGUUUGCGAACUUUCAAUGCCAUUAUUAUGCUUCUUACACAUAGGCAACCUCCGUUUGAUCCGAAUGUCAGAGGGAGAAAAUGUGUUUUCGACCAGUAAUUAAAUUGAAAAGUUUUCGUUGACAAGGUCAAGGAGCCUUGUUCAAAAUUAAGCUGCCAUGCAGGGGGCUCAACAAAAAUUUACCUGUCUAUGUAGU